GAUGAACGCUGGCGGCAUGCCUAAUACAUGCAAGUCGAGCGAACGGACGCGAAGCUUGCUUCUCUGAUGUUAGCGGCGGACGGGUUAGUAACACGUGGAUAACCUACCUAUAAGAAUGGGAUAACAUCGGGAAACCGGAGCUAAUACCAGCUAAUAUUUUGAACCGCAUGGUUCAAAAGUGAAAGACGGUCUUGCUGUCACUUAUAGAUGGAUCCGCGCUGCAUUAGCUAGUUGGUAAGGUAACGGCUUACCAAGGCAACGAUGCAUAGCCGACCUGAGAGGGUGAUCGGCCACACUGGAACUGAGACACGGUCCAGACUCCUACGGGAGGCAGCAGUAGGGAAUCUUCCGCAAUGGGCGAAAGCCUGACGGAGCAACGCCGCGUGAGUGAUGAAGGUCUUCGGAUCGUAAAACGCUGUUAUUAGGGAAGAACAGAUGUGUAAGUAACUAGGCACAUCUUGACGGUACCGAAUCAGAAAGCCACGGCUAACUACGUG
rnacentral:rRNA from 1 species